rnacentral:lncRNA from 1 species
UAAAUCGACUUCGGCAUCCAAAAGCUUCCUUAGUCAGAUUUACCGCUACCAAUACCGAUUUCAAAACCCCACUUCAGUGGUCUUGACUCCAGAUUGUGACGGCGAGGGUGGGUUUGUUGACGAUUAACGAGGGGUUUAGGGUUAGUAAAAAAACGGCGAGGGUUUUGUGGAUUGUGACGGCGGAGAGCGGGUUUGCGGUGGUCAUGUUCGUCGGUGGUGAAGGGGGUUUCUUGUGGUGUUUUGGUGUUGAUGAAGGUUGUUGCCGUUGAAGAGUUGCGGUGUAGGCGAGAUGGAGGGUUGGAGGAUGAAUGGUGGUGGCGG